UACGUACUCCCUCCGUCCGAAAAUAUUUGUCACAUGAAUGGAUGAAUCUAGAUCUAUUUUAUCUCUAGAUACAUUUAUUUUUGUAAAUUUGUACGACAAGUAAUUUCGAAUGGAGGGAGUAUCAC
rfam:Hordeum vulgare subsp. vulgare, WGS project CAJW01000000 data, contig: morex_contig_1565775